UGUGAUUGGACUAUUUUUUCCAUGCCUGUCAAGAUUUAAAAAGACAGCAUGGGUAGUUUUUCAAAUUUGUCUUCUGAUGCUUUGUAAAUGGUUCUACUUACUUUGUACCAAGGGCAGUUUUUGCAGCUGACACACCACACAAAGAAAUAGUUGUACAUUUGUAUCUGUCUCUAAUCAGGAUUAAAACUUACCCCAACUUUAUAUGCCUCACACAAAAAGCAACCAAUUUUUUUUCGCUUUCAUUGACAUUUCUUACUUUGGUAAAUUUUUGUUGCGAAACUGAAAAAGUGCUAUGUUUAGUAGAUUAUAUUUUAUAUUUAAAAGAAAAUAAAACCUGAAAUAUUUUCAAGUUUAAAAACACACCUUCAUAAUAAUUGCCUGUUUUGGCAUGUGUUGUUGACAACAGAUUUGUUUACCUUGGUUGUCAGGUUGUGCUUGUACACACACCUGUCUAGAUCUGGAUUGUAUGAGAGAUCUGAAUCUCUGUUACGUUUUGUAUCGUAUGUAAUAAUGAUCACACAUUUUUUGCUUGCGUUUUCUUAUCAAAAUUAACGCAUUUAUUGCUUUGCAGGGUUGAUUAAUAAGGAUUAAGGAGUGCGAGUUCAUUAAAAAUGAUACAUUUUUUGAUAAAAGCCAUUUUUUUGCUACAUGUAUGUAUACUGAAAAUAAAAUAUAUCAGUAU
rnacentral:misc_RNA from 1 species